rnacentral:ribozyme from 1 species
AGACGAGAAACCGAAAAAGGGCGGUCUUGUCCCUCAUAUUUUCAAAUAGCUACUUUCUUCUUUACAUGAAUGCAACUAUUCAGAAUUAUUCCGUCCCU